rnacentral:rRNA from 1 species
GAUGAACGCUGACAGAAUGCUUAACACAUGCAAGUCUUUGGCGAAGCUGUGCUUGCACAGCCUAGCCAAGGCGGACGGGUGAGUAACGCGUAAGGAACUUGCCCUGCAGUCAGGGAUAACAGACGGAAACGACUGAUAAGACCUGGUAAAGUCAGGCGGACUCAUGUCCAGCCUGAUGAAAAGAGAUGCUGCAGGAGAGCCUUGCGUCCUAUUAGCUUGUUGGUGGGGUAACGGCCCACCAAGGCGAUGAUAGGUAGCCGGCCUGAGAGGGUGGACGGCCACAAGGGGACUGAGAUACGGCACUUACUCCUACGGGAGGCAGCAGUGGGGAAUAUUGGACAAUGGGGGCAACCCUGAUCCAGCAAUUCUGUGUGCAAGAUGAAGGUUUUCGGAUUGUAAAGUGCUUUCAGCAGGGAAGAAAAAAAUGACGGUACCUGCAGAAGAAGCGACGGCUAACUACGUG